AUGAGGCUCUUGGGGAGCAUGGAGCUCUGGCUGACCAACAUCUUUCUGCCCCUGCUGCUCCUCACCUGGCUGCCAGUUGGAACAGCCAGUCAAAUGGUAAAGCCAGUCACCACUGUGCAGCUCGAGACUGGUUUGGAGAAUCUCACAGUGCAGGUGAAAUGGUACAAUCCUGAUUGUCUGGAGGGGGAGAAUCAAACCAACCCUGUGUUUCUGGGGGAAAACUGUAUGAAUUUCACCAGCUCAAACCUGUGUACAGCCCGCACAGAAAUCUGUGGUUUUGGGGUCUUCAACUCAACACCAAACUCAACAGAUGCUAGAAAUCAAACCAACACUGUGUUUCUGGCUGGAAACUGUAUGAAUUUCACCAGCUCAAGCCCGUGUACAGUCUGCACUGGAAUCUGUGUGUGUAGGGUCUUCAUCAGAAGACCAAACGCGACAGAUGCUGGAAACAGAACGCAAGCAGCAGAUCUCAGCUGUGUCUGUGCAGGACCUCAGACUGAUGUCACAGGGAAGAUCUGGACAGGACUCAACCUCCUCCUGAGCAUCCUCCUUGGCUUAGCGGUCGGGACGCUCCUUUACAUGCCCGUAAUUGGCUUCCUGCUGUGGCAGUGCAGAAGAAACAGAACAGGAGAGCUCAUGAGCGGGGAAGUGGCAGAGGGGAAUCGGGUCAGUACGGCAGCCUCAGUGACAGGGACUGAGGAGCUGACCUAUGCCAACCUGAAAUUUGAAAAGAAGGGGACAGGAUCUGCCUCCUCCAAUGUCAUUUACACCGAGGUCAAGCCAUUGCAACAGAAGCAGAGUGGUGGGGAUGGCAGUGCUGCCAACACAGAGGUGGAUGUUUCCCCCAAGGAAGAAGGCAAGUGAGGGAGGUGAGCAGCUUAUUGUCCACCUGUUGGGAUCGUCCUCCUCAAAAACUAGGUGUCAGCUCAUACAGCAGCACAGUCUUGGGGACAAAGACACCUAUUACCCCCGAGUGGCUGCAGAACCCUGCUUUAUGUUCCCCUGGAAGAAGUCAUGUGAGGACAGGGCUCUUGAGCCUGCUUUCCCCUUGCCUUCUGCAGCUCCAAGCACUGCCAAGCCUCAGCAACUAUUUUUACUGUCUCUAGUUGGUGACAGGCUCCUCUAGCUGCUUGUUCUGUGUUCAGGAAUGACAGUGUACACUGUGUGGCCAGCAUGGUGUUCAGGAAGAGCUUCGUCCUGGACAUGCUGGGUGGCAUAUGCUGACCAUGAGAAGUCCUGGAGCAAUUUUCUGGAUUUUCUCUGGAGCAGGCACCUGCUGUGAUAUGGGCUGACCUUUGUUUCAUUCACUCACUUGAAACACAAGGGGCAAGGAUUGAAAAGCAUUGCCUACUUCACAGAGGUGCUGCUGCAGUGAUGCACAUGGAUCUGCUUGUCCUGGGAGUAGACAGGUGUUUCUGCUGGUUUGCUGGUGAAUACCCUUCUUGUGGGUAGAGCACUCUCUUUUGUGCCCUCUUUUAUUGAUAAUGUUGUGUUUAUUGUGAGUUUUUUCAGUAAAAUUGUGAUUCCUACAUGUGGUCUUGCCUGGUAUUUCCUCUGCUGUUGGAAGAGGAGCAGCUUGAGUGGAGAUAACUUUCCCACUGGGUUUGAAACCAGCACAUAGUCUAGUGAUUUAGUGUUACAGCCACAACAGAUGCUGAGGUUCAGAGAUGACCCCAAAAAGAUAGUCCAGAUCUUCUGGGUUAUUCUCAGAGCAUAUGAUGUCCAACCAUUAAACAACCCCAAAAAGAUAGUCCAGAUCUUCUGGGUUAUUCUCAGAGCAUAUGAUGUCCAACCAUUAAACAACCCACCUCAUCACCUUCUCUGCCAGGCAUAACAUCAUCAGCACCUGCAUGACCAGGUUCCA
ensembl:lncRNA uncharacterized LOC103816851